ensembl:lncRNA
CCUACUGUACAGCACAAAGACCUCUAGUCAAUACUCUGGAAUGGCCUAUAUGCGGAAAGAAUCUCAAAAAGAGUGGAUAUAUUUAUAGGGAUAACUGCUUCAUUAUGCUAUACACCCGAAACUAACACAACAUUCUGAAAAAGCUUGCUAGCACGCCCCCCUCCCUCCAACAGAGAGAGCCGCAAACUCCAGGUCUCGCGACAGUUUCUCUUUUCCUCGGAAACUGCUACAGAUCUCGCGAGAAUUACUUGUCCAAUCACGAAACUGAAUGGAGGCCCAAGAUGGCGGCGCACUGGGAGCGUAACAUCUGCGUUUCUAGGAUCUUCGCGCAGCGGGUGGUUAAGACUCCGGGGUUGUAGAGGUCCACACUAUACUAGUCGUCUGGCAGGAACUUUGACUUCAGAGGCAAGAAUACUGGAGUGGGUUGCCAUUUCCGUCUCCAGGGGAUCCUCCCGACCCAGGGAUCGAACCCGUGUUUCCUUCAUUGGCAGGUGAAUUCUUUAGCACUGAGCCACCAGGGACGCCCUAAGAGUUUACAGUAGCUGCUAUGGCUGACCUGGGGAAAUUAAGGAAGGAAAGACCUUCCUGAAGAGGAGAUGCUUGAGUUGUGGUAGUAAGGAUGAGUAGGAAUUAAUCAGGUGAAGACGGGGAGGAAAGACCAUUACAGAUGAAAGGGUAAUCUGUGUAAAGACCCUAUUGCCAGAGUGGAGGGAGAGAAAGAGGAGCAAGGGUGAGACUUCAGCUCAUGCUGAAGCCACACUGUGCUGGGUCUUGUAUGUAUGCUGAAGUAAUGCUUUUUGUUUUUCUCCUAAAAGCAAAGUUUUGAGCAAGCGAGCAUGGGAGGUGGACACAGUGAAAUUUGUGUUUAGAAAUGGUCACUGCAUGGUGGAAAAAGGCAUGGAGAGAAAAAGUGUGGGUUCAUGGAGACCAAUUAAGAGGCCGCUGGGGCAGUAUGGG